ensembl:lncRNA
CUCCCUCCCAUCUCCUCCCUCUCUGAUUCCUCCCUCUCUUGCCCCAUCACUCUCUGCUCCCUCUCCUUCUCUCGUCCCUCCCUCUCUCCUUCCCCCCCCCUCCCUCCUCCCUCCCUCCCCUCCUCCCUCUCUCCCACCCUAUGUCUCUCCACCAUCCUCAAGUGUUGCACCUCCUGUGAGUGAAAGGCAAGAUGGGUUCCCCCAACGAAUCAGUGAACAUAUUUCGGAUUGGUUUGAAGUGAGCCGGGAGCUUCUACGGUGGCAGGCAGUCAGUCUGGAACAGCAAACUGCACUUUCUAACAAAUUACACUUGAAUCUUAUCUUAUUUGUGUCCUCAUGAUGUCUGACUCCAGUGAUGCAGUCAUUGAGUCACAGGACACUGGCCUUCAGAUAAGACAGUACCGCAAAGCUUGUCACUGAAUCUGCGCAACCGGCAAGAUGGGUUCCCCCAACGAAUCAGUGAACAUAUUUCGGAUUGGUUUGAAGUGAGCCGGGAGCUUCUACGGUGGCAGGCAGUCAGUCUGGAACAGCAAACUGCACUUUCUAACAAAUUACACUUGAAUCUUAUCUUAUUUGUGUCCUCAUGAUGUCUGACUCCAGUGAUGCAGUCAUUGAGUCACAGGACACUGGCCUUCAGAUAAGACAGUACCGCAAAGCUUGUCACUGAAUCUGCGCAACCGGCAAGAUGAUUCAGCCCGACCUCACUCUGUUCCCCGUCGCUCUGACCACACUUUGAGCUUCCUUCAUUUUUCCUCGUAUGCUGUCAUGAACAAACCGUUUUGCAAAAAGAAGCCAUGGCGCCGCACAUUACAUUUCCUUCUUUCCCCGGUACUGAGGGAGGCCGCUCAGUUUUACUGAUUUACUGCUGAGAACGUAAAGGACGUCUAUGAAGUUAGUCAAUCCUCUUUUCCUCCCCUUCUCCUCUCUGAUAUCUCCUUUCUCCUCAUCCUCUCCUCCUCCUCCUCUACUCUCCCUCCUCUCCUCCUCAUUCUCUCCUCGCCUCCUACUCUCCUCCUCCUCUACUCUCCUCUCCUCCUCUUCUCUCCUCUCCUCUCCUCUCCUCUCCUCUCCU